rnacentral:piRNA from 1 species
UAGGUCUAACCAGGCUGUGCAGGUUGACCA